rnacentral:rRNA from 1 species
ACUCAAAUGAAUUGACGGGGGCCCGCACAAGCGGUGGAGCAUGUGGUUCAAUUCGACGCAACGCGAAGAACCUUACCUGGGCUCGAACGGCUAUGGACAAUCCUUGGAAACAGGGACUUCUCGCAAGAGACUGUAGUCGAGGUGCUGCAUGGCUGUCGUCAGCUCGUGUCGUGAGAUGUUGGGUUAAGUCCCGCAACGAGCGCAACCCUUGUCCUGUGUUGCCAUCAUUUAGUUGGGCACUCUCAGGAGACCGCCAGCGAUAAGCUGGAGGAAGGUGGGGAUGAUGUCAAGUCAUCAUGGCCUUUAUGUCCAGGGCUACACACGUGCUACAAUGGCCGGUACAAAGCGCUGCAAACUCGCAAGAGGGAGCUAAUCGCAAAAAACCGGUCUCAGUUCGGAUCGCAGGCUGCAACUCGCCUGCGUGAAGCUGGAAUCGCUAGUAAUGCCGUAUCAGAACGAUGGCGUGAAUACGUUCCCGGGCCUUGUACACACCGCCCGU